rnacentral:rRNA from 1 species
UACGGAGGGUGCAAGCGUUGUCCGGAAUCACUGGGCGUAAAGGGCGCGUAGGCGGCUCAUGAAGGCUGUGGUGAAAGUCCGGGGCUCAACCUCGGAUCGGCCGUGGCGACUCGUGGGCUGGAGCACUGUAGAGGCGGGUGGAAUUCCGGGUGUAGCGGUGGAAUGCGUAGAGAUCGGGAGGAACACCAGAGGCGAAGGCGGCGACCUGGAUAGAUACUGACACUCAACUACGAAAGCGUGGGGAGCAAACAGG